UACGUAGGGGGCUAGCGUUAUCCGGAAUUACUGGGCGUAAAGAGCUCGUAGGUGGUUUGUCACGUCGUCUGUGAAAUUCCGGGGCUUAACCUCGGGCGUGCAGGCGAUACGGGCAAUACUUGAGUGCUGUAGGGGAGACUGGAAUUCCUGGUGUAGCGGUGAAAUGCGCAGAUAUCAGGAGGAACACCAAUGGCGAAGGCAGGUCUCUGGGCAGUUACUGACGCUGAGGAGCGAAAGCAUGGGUAGCGAACAGGAUUAGAUA
rnacentral:rRNA from 1 species